rnacentral:rRNA from 1 species
UACGUAGGGGGCAAGCGUUGUCCGGAUUUAUUGGGCGUAAAGAGCGUGUAGGCGGCUUUACAGGUCCGUUGUGAAAACUCGAGGCUCAACCUCGAGACGCCGGUGGAAACCGUAAGGCUAGAGUCCGGAAGAGGAGAGUGGAAUUCCUGGUGUAGCGGUGAAAUGCGCAGAUAUCAGGAAGAACACCCAUGGCGAAGGCGGCUCUCUGGGACGGUACUGACGCUGAGACGCGAAAGCGUGGGGAGCGAACAGG